rnacentral:miRNA from 1 species
UCGUGUCCGUUUCUCGUUUCGA